rnacentral:rRNA from 1 species
GACGAACGUUGGCGGCGUGCCUAAUACAUGCAAGUCGAACGAGAGCGACCGGUGCUUGCACUGGUCAAUCUAGUGGCGAACGGGUGAGUAACACGUGGGUAACCUGCCCAUCAGAGGGGGAUAACAUUCAGAAGCGGAUGCUAAAACCGCAUAGGUUCUACAGUCGCAUGACUGAAGAAGGAAAGAGGCUUCGGCUUCUGCUGAUGGAUGGACCCGCGGUGCAUUAGCUAGUUGGUGAGGUAACGGCUCACCAAGGCCGUGAUGCAUAGCCGACCUGAGAGGGUGAUCGGCCACAUUGGGACUGAGACACGGCCCAG